AUUGAACGCUGGCGGCAUGCCUUACACAUGCAAGUCGAACGGUAACAGGUUAAGCUGACGAGUGGCGAACGGGUGAGUAAUGUAUCGGAACGUGCCCAGUCGUGGGGGAUAACUGCUCGAAAGAGCAGCUAAUACCGCAUACGACCUGAGGGUGAAAGCGGGGGAUCGCAAGACCUCGCGCGAUUGGAGCGGCCGAUAUCAGAUUAGGUAGUUGGUGAGGUAAAGGCUCACCAAGCCGACGAUCUGUAGCUGGUCUGAGAGGACGACCAGCCACACUGGGACUGAGACACGGCCCAGACUCCUACGGGAGGCAGCAGUGGGGAAUUUUGGACAAUGGGCGCAAGCCUGAUCCAGCCAUGCCGCGUGCGGGAAGAAGGCCUUCGGGUUGUAAACCGCUUUUGUUAGGGAAGAAAAGGUUCUGGCUAAUACCUGGGACCCAUGACGGUACCUGAAGAAUAAGCACCGGCUAACUACGUGCCAGCCGCCGCAGUAAUAC
rnacentral:rRNA from 1 species